rnacentral:rRNA from 1 species
GAUGAACGCUAGCGGGAGGCCUAACACAUGCAAGCCGAGCGGUAUUGUUUCUUCGGAAAUGAGAGAGCGGCGUACGGGUGCGGAACACGUGUGCAACCUGCCUUUAUCUGGGGGAUAGCCUUUCGAAAGGAAGAUUAAUACUCCAUAAUAUAUUGAACGGCAUCGUUUAAUAUUGAAAGCUCCGGCGGAUAGAGAUGGGCACGCGCAAGAUUAGCUAGUUGGUGAGGUAACGGCUCACCAAGGCGAUGAUCUUUAGGGGGCCUGAGAGGGUGAUCCCCCACACUGGUACUGAGACACGGACCAGACUCCUACGGGAGGCAGCAGUGAGGAAUAUUGGUCAAUGGGUGCAAGCCUGAACCAGCCAUCCCGCGUGAAGGACGACUGCCCUAUGGGUUGUAAACUUCUUUUGUAUAGGGAUAAACCUACCCUCGUGAGGGUAGCUGAAGGUACUAUACGAAUAAGCACCGGCUAACUCCGUGCCAGCAGCCGCGGUAAUACGGAGGGUGCAAGCGUUAUCCGGAUUUAUUGGGUUUAAAGGGUCCGUAGGCGGACUUAUAAGUCAGUGGUGAAAGCCUGUCGCUUAACGAUAGAACUGCCAUUGAUACUGUAAGUCUUGAGUAUAUUUGAGGUAGCUGGAAUAAGUAGUGUAGCGGUGAAAUGCAUAGAUAUUACUUAGAACACCAAUUGCGAAGGCAGGUUACCAAGAUACAACUGACGCUGAGGGACGAAAGCGUGGGGAGCGAACAGGAUUAGAUACCCUGGUAGUCCACGCCGUAAACGAUGCUAACUCGUUUUUGGGCUUUAGGGUUCAGAGACCAAGCGAAAGUGAUAAGUUAGCCACCUGGGGAGUACGCUCGCAAGAGUGAAACUCAAAGGAACUGACGGGGGCCCGCACAAGCGGUGGAUUAUGUGGUUUAAUUCGAUGAUACGCGAGGAACCUUACCAAGACUUAAAUGGGAAUUGACAGCUUUAGAAAUAGAGCUUUCUUCGGACAAUUUUCAAGGUGCUGCAUGGUUGUCGUCAGCUCGUGCCGUGAGGUGUUAGGUUAAGUCCUGCAACGAGCGCAACCCCUGUCACUAGUUGCCAUCAUUCAGUUGGGGACUCUAGUGAGACUGCCUACGCAAGUAGAGAGGAAGGUGGGGAUGACGUCAAAUCAUCACGGCCCUUACGUCUUGGGCCACACACGUAAUACAAUGGCCGGUACAGAGGGCAGCUACACAGCGAUGUGAUGCAAAUCUCGAAAGCCGGUCUCAGUUCGGAUUGGAGUCUGCAACUCGACUCUAUGAAGCUGGAAUCGCUAGUAAUCGCGCAUCAGCCAUGGCGCGGUGAAUACGUUCCCGGGCCU